CGCGGAGUGGAGCAGCUUGGUAGCUCGUCGGGCUCAUAACCCGAAGGUCGUCGGUUCAAAUCCGGCCCCCGCAACCA
rnacentral:tRNA from 1 species